UUCCCUUCCAUUAUAAACCAGGACUGGCCACAUCUGCAGUCCAGAGGUUGAAAAAUUUGCUAUAGCCAUAUGAUCCCGGCUGCUGUAAAGCUUCCUUUUUUGGCCCACACAGCAUGGUCAUCCUUUCUGAAGACAAGUGCGUAAGUGGGGAAGGAUUCACAAACAACAUUACUGCUUCUGCCCAGAAAUAAAAAUGAACAUGUGUGAAUGUGAGAAUUCUGUUCCAGUUAUGGAAAUUAUUACCAGGAAUCCAGGGGAAAGCAGUUCCUUUUUACCAUUCGAUCCAUCAUGCUCCAUCUCAAUUAGCAGUUCUGGGCGCAAUGCAAGAAUCAGUCGGUGAAAGGCCUACCACGAACAGGAAUUCAGACUACAGCUGAGUGGGUGAACUUACAAAUAGAAGAAGUGAAAUGAAUGCAUUUUGGGCCUGACUUAAAAUGUUGCGUAUGAAAUAAAGCGGUCUGUUUCAUAUUUGGGUACAUGUGUAUAGAAAUCCUUAACCCUUUAAUAAGUGUUGGUGAAGCUUUAAACAAGAGCCUUAUUUCAUAAGGAAAAGUCAAAACAUCUCAUUUUUGAAUAUGGAGAAGAAAAGCUUUGACUUUUUAGAAAUUCCCCAUCCCCAGUCUUUUCAGCAGAAAGUAUUUGCUGAAUUCAAUCUGUGUUUGUGAAUCAUAUUGUUUCCCCCCCCCCCAAAAAUUGAUGAAUUUACUAUUUGCCAAUUCCUCCUCUCCCCACAAAACUUGUCUU